AGUGGCUUAGUUAGGAGGCCAAUAGUAAUUUAAGGCAUUUUGAGUGGAUUGUUGCAUUCUAUCAACAGUCCUCCAAGCAGCCGUGAACAUUU